rnacentral:rRNA from 1 species
AACAAUACAGGGCAUUUUUUGUUCUGUAAUUGGAAUGAUGGGAAUGUAAAACCCUUUCAGAGUAACAAUUGGAGGGCAAGUCUGGUGCCAGCAGCCGCGGUAAUUCCAGCUCCAAUAGUGUAUAUUAGAGUUGUUGCAGUUAAAAAGCUCGUAGUUGGAUUUCUGUCGUGGUCAUCCGGUUCCGCCCGUAUGGGUGUGCACCUGGUUUGCCCUCGGCUUUCUUCCGUUUGCCUCUUGGCGCUUCACUGCGUCUUUUGGUUUUUCGGAACUUUUACUUUGAGAAAAAUAGAGUGUUUCAAGCAGGCUUGUCGCCCUGAAUACUUCAGCAUGGAAUAAUAAGAUAGGACCUUGGUUCUAUUUUGUUGGUUUCUAGGACUAAGGUAAUGAUUAAUAGGGACAGUUGGGGGCAUUCGUAUUUAACUGUCAGAGGUGAAAUUCUUAGAUUUGUUAAAGACGAACUACUGCGAAAGCAUUUGCCAAGGAUGUUUUCAUUAAUCAAGAACGACAGUAGGGGGUUUGAAGACGAUUAGAUACCGUCGUAAUCUCUACCAUAAACUAUGCCGACUAGAGAUAGGGAAAUGCCUACCUUGGCUUCUCCUGCACCUCAUGAGAAAUCAAAGUCUCUGGGUUCUGGGGGGAGUAUGGUCGCAAGGCUGAAACUUAAAGGAAUUGACGGAAGGGCACCACCAGGCGUGGAGCCUGCGGCUUAAUUUGACUCACCCGGGGAAACUCACCAGGUCCAGACUUGGGAAGGAUUG